rnacentral:lncRNA from 1 species
AUGUGGGACAUCCUGGAAGCCCUCCUCUUCCUGGUCCUCGCCACACUGUGGGGCCUUCAGUGGCCUCUCCCAGACAAGGGUUUCACCAUCAUCUUCCUCGUGUUCCUGCUCUGGGAGAUCCACUGGGGCCAACUGAAAUGGUUGACGACAGAAGAAACAAGAGAUAAUGUGCGUCGUCCCGAUCCGCAGCCGGAGGACGCGCCGGAAAAAGUUCUGAGGAUGUUGGAGAUAUGUGACCGAAAUCUCAAGGAAAUUCUGCAUCUCCUGAGAUGGCACGACCCGGACACGUCGUCCGAGGAAUCGGACUGCACCGUCUGCCGGCGCCGUAGCGAAAGAGCCCGGGGCCGGUCAGCGGAGGACGGCACUUUCCGCUCCACGGAUUCACCGCCCCUCGCCGGCAAGGAGAGGGCGACUCGACCCCAAACGUCCCUUCGUGGAUGCAGGGGCUCAGAAAGUCACCCUCUCCGGGUGAGCGGUCUGGAGUCGAGAAGUCACCCUCCCCGGGCGAGCGGUCCGGAGUCAAGAAGUCACCCUCCUCGGGCCAGCGGUCCAGAGUCAUCGAUUCACCCUCCCCAGGCCAGCGGUCCGGGGUCAAGAAGUCACCCUCCUCGGGCCAGCGGUCCAGAGUCAUCGAUUCACCCUCCCCAGGCCAGCGGUCCGGGGUCAAGAAGUCACCCUCUGUGGGCGAGCGGUCCGGGGUCAAGAAGUCACCCUCCCCGGGCCAGCGGUCCAGAGUCAUGGAGUCACCCUCCCCGGGCCAGUGUUCCGGACUCAAGAAGUCACCCUCGCCGGACCAGCGGUCCAGGGUCAGAAAGUCACCCUCCCUCGGCGAGCUGCCUGGGGUCAAGUCAUCCUCCCCGGGUGAGCCUUCCGGAGCCAGUAUCUCAUCCUUCCCGGGCCAGCGGUCUGGGCUCAAGAAGUCACCCUCCCCGGGCGAGCAGCCAGGGGUCAAGAAGUCACCCUCCCCAGGCUAGCGGUCCGGGGUCAGGACCUGACCUCAAAGGGGCUCAACUGGCUCAGGUGAAGGAGGUUCAGCAGGUGCAGCAGCCAGUCUGCCCGCUCUCUGGCCAGAGGAGCUCAGAGGACUCACCUGAGAGAGUCCUCAGGGUCGUGUACCCGGAACCGGAGGAGUCGUGGAUCGAGCCCCAGACCUCGCCCCAGAUCCCUCACCCCCGCCGGGCCUCAUUCCUCGUCCCCAACGGACACGGCGCCCCGGGGCCUCUCGGCUCGGCGGAGCGCUCGGGGCAGACCACCGCCACCCGCCCAGAUUGCCGGCAGAGAGGGGGCAAGGUGGACCCGGCGCCAUCUUCCCAGACGGGAAUCACUCCGAAGGCCGCAACCCGGACACCCGCAAGAGCUCCGGGCCCAAGAGGGGAGAGCGGGUGGGCCCCUCGCCCGAUGUGGGGGCCGGUUCUCCCGGCGAAGAGAGCUCCAGCCUUUCCGCGGGGCCCCCGCCUGCCAGAGUAUCGGGCCACGGGAUGCGGGGCAUCACCGGCGGACCCCACGACGGCCGCGCCCCGAGCCUCCCCGACGGGAGAGAGAAGACCACGGAGGAACGGAUGGCCCAGUGGCACCAGCCGCACGGGAACGGGGUCGUCCCGUCCCUGGUGA